rnacentral:rRNA from 1 species
CCGCGUGAGUGAUGAAGGUUUUCGGAUCGUAAAGCUCUGUUGUUAGGGAAGAACAAGUGCCGUUCAAAUAGGGCGGCACCUUGACGGUACCUAACCAGAAAGCCACGGCUAACUACGUGCCAGCAGCCGCGGUAAUACGUAGGUGGCAAGCGUUGUCCGGAAUUAUUGGGCGUAAAGGGCUCGCAGGCGGUUUCUUAAGUCUGAUGUGAAAGCCCCCGGCUCAACCGGGGAGGGUCAUUGGAAACUGGGGAACUUGAGUGCAGAAGAGGAGAGUGGAAUUCCACGUGUAGCGGUGAAAUGCGUAGAGAUGUGGAGGAACACCAGUGGCGAAGGCGACUCUCUGGUCUGUAACUGACGCUGAGGAGCGAAAGCGUGGGGAGCGAACAGGAUUAGAUACCCUGGUAGUCCACGCCGUAAACGAUGAGUGCUAAGUGUUAGGGGGUUUCCGCCCCUUAGUGCUGCAGCUAACGCAUUAAGCACUCCGCCUGGGGAGUACGGUCGCAAGACUGAAACUCAAAGGAAUUGACGGGGGCCCGCACAAGCGGUGGAGCAUGUGGUUUAAUUCGAAGCAACGCGAAGAACCUUACCAGGUCUUGACAUCCUCUGACAAUCCUAGAGAUAGGACGUCCCCUUCGGGGGCAGAGUGACAGGUGGUGCAUGGUUGUCGUCAGCUCGUGUCGUGAGAUGUUGGGUUAAGUCCCGCAACGAGCGCAACCCUUGAUCUUAGUUUGCCAGCAUUCAGUUGGGCACUCUAAGGUGACUGCCGGUGACAAACCGGAGGAACGGUGGGGAUGACGUCAAAUCAUCAUGCCCCUUUAUGACCGUUGGGCUACACACGUGCUACAAAUGGACAGAACAAAGGGCCAGCGAAACCGGCGGAGGUUAAGCUCAUUCCCCCAAAUCUGUUCUUCAGUCGGAUUCCAACUCUGCACCUCGACUGCGUUGAAGCUGGAAUCGCUAGUAAUCCCGGAUCAUCAU